CCGUCUGCUCGGGGAUAGGCUGGGCAUUGGUCAGCGGGUGCCCUGGGCCCAAUGUGGUUGGCACAACUGGAAUCGGUGGUAGCAUGGAAAUACUGCCAGUCACAGAAGGGGAUCUGGCCCUGUUGAAGAACCAAGGACAGAAUACUCAACUCCAACACAGUCAGAAGCAAUCUGAAGAAACACAAGAGGUACAGAUAUCUAGAAUCUGGAAAAGAUCAUGUCUCACAGGCAUUUCAUGGGAAGAGGGUGUAAGUACUUCUUUGUCCUACACAUGUAACUCCAGCGGGCUAUUGGCCUUGCUCUCCAGAUAGAAGGGAUCCAUUGCCUUUAAAUUGUAACAUCAUGGAGCAAUUAAAGAGAAAAAGUCUCUA